AGAUGGAUCAAAGUUGAUGCUCGUGGAGUAAAAUAAUCAAACACCUUGCUGUUCAUCUUAGAAUAAGAAUGUGGAUAAAGGUGGAGCAAUCUGGAGUUGACUGGCAGAUGAGUAUUCUGCUACCUGGCAUCGCAUUAACGGGAGGUCAGUAUGCAAGAGACGGAAUGUUCUUUCGGAAUCGAGAUGUCUUUGAAGGAAGAGAUGGUUAUCAUCAGCAUUAGAUGCUCCAUCUGACGCCCACCUUCAAUGGCGUGGCUGCCCAUGUCGCCUGGCGGUAGGUUAGGAAGCAGCAGCAGCAGUCAUAUAAUUUGAUGGUGCCCUCCUCACUUUCCUAAUCGUCAUCAAACAAUUCAGCACCACUUGUCUCAGUCCUUUGGGGAAGCAGAUGAAGUGAAAGAGACAGACAUGCAUGUAGUCAUCUUUUUGACCCGUCGCAGAAGGCCUACAAGAAGGCGGCUCGGCAGCAGAGUCGGUGGCGAUUCCGCAGACACAUAUUUGAGGAAACGUCUCAGAGAAAAUCUCUGCAAAGAUGAGCAGCAGACUCGUCCACCACAGCAGCAGCAGGAAAAAGGAGGAGGGGUUAGCCCUUCGUCUCCAUAGUCGGCCUCCAAGUCCGUGAGGGGGACCAGCAGCCUCCAAUUGCAACAGCUGCCGUCGAGCGUCCUGCCUCCGGCUGCAAUGUGGGCGGUUGCCCCAAAUAACGGAGCUGGGCUCCGUUCUGGAUGCUCCCCGUCACGGCAGGAUCAGCGGGCCCAAGCACCACUACAGUUCAUGCCACAGCCAACGAGCGGCCUGGUGGCGCAGCAUCCUGGGCUGAGCACGUCGGAGACUAAUCGGCGGAUGCUCGCGGCAUUCAAUGCUUAUCGUAGAGGUGGUGGCCGGAGCAUGAAUUCUGAGCACCACCAGCCGAUGAAUCACCAUCACCUAGUCCAACCCCCUACCUGUCAUCAACAAGGUGCAGACAGCAGAGAAGACCACCAAACCAGCUCAGAAUGAAUCUGCAAGGACGACUACCGUGCAGCAGAUGAUUGCAUUCUCUAAAUUCUUUCUUCUGUUUCCUUUCUGAAGUCGGAGGACCAAAAGAUUACAAUUCAUUGGAGGCAGCAAGUACUAACAAAUCCACUGCUAGAGCAAUUCAGAAGAGGUAUUGAAGUUCCUCAGUGGUUGCUGUGGUCAAGCAAGAGGAUAAACAACAAAGCAUACAGAGAACUUUCAGCCUGUAAAAUCUCUCCCUCUUCCCUUUCCUCCUUCCAUCUUCCAUCUCUUAUUUCCUUCCUAGUGGCAACCAUGAGUGGCUGCUCAAGGAAAUUGCUGUAGUGCCUCCUCAUUCUCUAUCUUGUCCUUUAUGUACAGUUCAAAAGUCCUCAUCAUGUGACGCAGCUUUUCUAAUACCAACCACUAACUCAGUCUUAAGUUCCUUCUAAUUAACAUGAAAAGGUUUUUUUACUCCAAAGGCAGAUUGUGGCAGUAGAAUCCAUGGAUGACACCUUCACGAAUGGAAAUGAAGAUGUGGCUGCUCUAGAUGGCAUCGGUCGCAGUUCCAAGACCAGUAUGCAAACCUUCACUAUCUGUUUGUACAUGUGCGACCAAGACCAAUGCAUGCUAUAGAGGCCAUGUCUGCAAUUAAUGCAAAGAUAAUAAGAACAAAGAAGGCGUAACAAUGGCACAGUUCAAGUAGCACUUCUUCAUAGUAGUGCUGGCUUGAAUUCUAAGUGAAAGAUUAGGAUGAAGAAGUAAAUUGUAGGACAAAAGCAGUCUGCCUGCAGAAGUUUCAUGCCACACUGAGGAAACAUGGGUUUGGUGAUGAAGAUCUUUCAACCCAAAAACCUUGGCUGGAAAUGACGGUUGGGAAUGCACAUGCCUGUGCUGUGAUACACUCAUGCAUGAGGAGGCAGAGGUUGGUGGAGCUUUACAAUAUAAUUGAGACCCAUAUCAGUCGGAUUGGUUGGUGCGGUACCAAGUUUUUGGUUGAUUCCUCAUCUGGUAGGUUUCCACAAUGAAUGCCUUCUUUGUGUCUGGCCUAUGAUUGCAGCACUCGGUUUCAGAAAACAGAUGUUGGUGGAUGCAUUCUACAUAGUCGCAUGUAACUCAACCACAGAGAAUUGAACCCCUGGUGCAUCUGGUAACCUGUCAACACUUGCAUCAAACUGUGGCUGAUCCAAGGAACAAUGUUUUUGUACAUCAGCAGGAUCAUUUAUUUCCCAGUAUUAGCUUCUUGUCAUGGAUUGUUCUACCUUAUCAACCUCAUUAGCCUGCCUUCAAUAUAAGGUUGAGUUUGUGCAGGGGAAGCAAUCUGAAAGAUUCAUCAUGAGGGUCCUAAAUCAGAUGUGGCAGCAACCAUCAGCUUAAGUCCAAAUCUUUUUCAUGGAAAUCAAAAGCAAUCUCUUAUUUAUGCAUGCACCCACCUGGUGUACAGUAACUGAGGAGAAAAUUUUGGUUGAGACCUUGUGUCAUCAGCUGGUCUUCCCACAACAAUUAUUUGCUGCUACAAUGACCAGUGCAGUGACAGUCAAGAUAUUCUAGUUGUCCUUGGAAUGUGGGUAUAUAAUCCAUAAGCAGUCAACAACACAAACCAACCACAGUGAUUAGGUGAGGUAGAACCAAAGCCCCAACAGUCCUCUCCUCUCUCUAGAAGCCCUCCAACCCCCUAGCCUUCAUUGUGAUGAAUAAGGCAUGGUCCAUUUGGAUUGAGACCAUUGGGGAUGGUUCCAUCAACUGGCAUUCCUUUCCCAUCUUUCCUUGUUUCUUUCAGUCCUACAGAUUGAGAAGCUGGUGAAUGAGUCAAGAAAAGGUGGCUAAGCUCUGGAAGGAAGUAAAGAAACUUCUGGUGCCCUUCCUUCCUCUCUUAAGCUUAUUAGGAAGGUCAUGAAUGAGCCACUUGGUUCAGAGUAAAAGCUGUCAUCUUUUGAAUCUUGUAGGGUCACAUGUGCCAACUUUUCUUGUUUCCUUGAAGCUGGAUCACAGUCCAAUUGAUGGAUGGAUAUCUACAGGGAGACUGGAAGAGUGUACUGGUGCAGAUGGGCAUUGAGUGAGUGCAAGUACACAACCUGCUGCUGGAGUCAAGACUCUGGAACAUCUCAACAUAUCUGUCAUUACUUCCCUAACCUGUUGAUUGUUCUUGUCACCCCAUCUUUCUUCUCUUCUAACUUUCUAAGAUGCUUGAUUGCCUGGCCAGUAUGCAACAGUGACUGGUAGGUGAAAAGUAUAAUAAUGACCAUGACAUUGUGUUUCUGCCCCUGCUUAUUUCUAGAG